rnacentral:rRNA from 1 species
GACGAACGCUGGCGGCGUGCUUAACACAUGCAAGUCGAACGGAAAGGCCCUGCUUUUGUGGGGUGCUCGAGUGGCGAACGGGUGAGUAACACGUGAGUAACCUGCCCUUGACUUUGGGAUAACUUCAGGAAACUGGGGCUAAUACCGGAUAGGAGCUCCUUCUGCAUGGUGGGGGUUGGAAAGUUUCGGCGGUUGGGGAUGGACUCGCGGCUUAUCAGCUUGUUGGUGGGGUAGUGGCUUACCAAGGCUUUGACGGGUAGCCGGCCUGAGAGGGUGACCGGCCACAUUGGGACUGAGGUGCGGCCCAGACUCCUACGGGAGGCAGCAGUGGGGAAUAUUGCACAAUGGGCGGAAGCCUGAUGCAGCAACGCCGCGUGCGGGAUGACGGCCUUCGGGUUGUAAACCGCUUUCGCCUGUGACGAAGCGUGAGUGACGGUAAUGGGUAAAGAAGCACCGGCUAACUACGUG